GGUUUUGUAGUGUAGUGGUUAUCACAGUGGAUUUUGAUUGCGUUCAAAAUUUCCAUUAACCCCGGUUCGAAUCCGGGCAAGACCU